rnacentral:rRNA from 1 species
GCAGUAAUGGCAGGUCAGCAUACUGCCGUGAAUACGUUCCCGGGCCUUGUACACACCGCCCGUCACACCAUGAGAGUUAGGAAUACCCGAAGCCUGUGAGCUAACUUUAAUAGAGGCAGCAGUCGAAGGUAGAACUAAUGAUUGGGGUGAAGUCGUAACAAGGUAGC